UACGUAGGGUGCAAGCGUUGUCCGGAAUUAUUGGGCGUAAAGAGCUUGUAGGCGGUUUGUCGCGUCUGCUGUGAAAUUUCGGGGCUCAACCCCGAACUUGCAGUGGGUACGGGCAGACUAGAGUGUGGUAGGGGAGACUGGAAUUCCUGGUGUAGGCGGUGGAAAAUGCGCAGAUAUCAGGAGGAACACCGGUGGCGAAGGCGGGUCUCUGGGCCGAUACUGACGUGAGGAGCGAAAGCGUGGGGAGCAAACAGG
rnacentral:rRNA from 1 species